rnacentral:tRNA from 1 species
GGGCUUGUGGCUCAGUGGGAGAGCCCUCACCUAGUAUGUGUGAAGCCCUGGGUUCAAUUCCCAGCACCACCA